GCGGGCGUGGUGGAACUGGUAGACACGCAGGUUUUAGGUACCUGUGACGGCAACGUCUUGGGGGUUCAAGUCCCUCCGCCCGCACCA
rnacentral:tRNA from 1 species